rnacentral:lncRNA from 10 species
GUGGUAUUUUAUGUAGGGAACUGACAUUAUCCUCUCUGCUCUGGAUGAAGGAUUAGAAGAGCCAGGCAAGGAACCAGGGGUCUUGUUAGGAAGUUAUUCUAGUGGUCCAGGUAAGAGAUUAUCAUCUCUUGCAGUUUGAUAGUGGUGGUGGUGGGGAUAGAAAUAAUUUAUCAAGAUGUAUUUAGAGAUCUAUAGAGAAAAUAGCAUUUAUAAGACUGCAUGAUGGUUUUAAAUGUGGAGGGUCAAGGGAAAGGAGGUGUCAAAGGUGAUUCUUGGGUUUCUGGUUAAAGCAACUCGAUGGAUAGUGGUGCCAUUUACCAGGUUAAGAAGGACUAGAAAGUUGUUAGCUUGCCUUUGUUGCUAUUAUUGUUUUUGUUAUUUAAUGCAUUUUGGUUUUUUUGCAUUUGUUUGGAAGGUUAGCAAGAAGGAUGGAAGGCAACAUCAACAAAUCAACUGGGGGCACAGUAUGUUUGAGAUACUCUAGAAGAUCCAGGUCCUGGGUUGUCUUGGCUCCCAGAGACGUCGAUCUUAGUGAUCGCUAAGCAGCAUCCAGCAGGAAUAAUACGUGACUUUAGCAACUCCUGGGGCUUUCCAAAAAGGCCUAGAGGGAUCCCACCCUGCCCAGGAUUCAGGAGAGAAAACAACCUUCCUUCCUCAUACAGUUAAUAAAUGUUAAGUAUGGUGGUAAGCAUUGAAGAUAAAAGGAAAAUUUCAAAAUAAAAGAUUAUAUGUUAAGACCAAGAAACAAAAUCCAGCUAUCUGUAGCAUACAUAAGACAGAUCUGAAACAUAAUAAUAAAAAAGAGUCAAAAGAACAAGAAAUUGCUAAUCCAAAUUGAAAAACAGAAAUCACAGUCUUAAUGCUGGGGAAAUUUGAAUUUACAGAUGAAAGCAUCGUUUGAUAAGAGAAAGAUUGAAACUGCCUUUGCAAAAUUAUGAAAGUAAGGGAAAUCUGACAUAGUUGACUCUAUUUUGCUUCUAACUUUCAAGCUAUCAUGGGUCACUCUUGGGUGUAGACUGAGUUGGCUUUGGGAGAAUUUAAUUUAUAGUUUAACCUUAAAGCAAAGAUGAUAAUAGCACUUUCCAAAACUAUUAAUAAACCACCUUUGCAAGUAAAACGAAUGAAAGGCCACAUGGUUAGGAUUAUGAGAGGGGCCCGAAUUCUGCUAAGAUGUGGGUAUAGUUUCUAUAAUCCCUUACUGCUCAGGAAUCAUGUGGCCAGAGGUCACAAGAUCUGUGACUUCCCCAAUUACUCCUAUAGAUAGCAUCACUAUUAUAAAACAUAAGAUUUUUUUUUUUUUUUUUAGAUGGAAUCUCACUGUGUCGCCCAGGCUGGAGUGCAGUGGCGUGAUCUCUGCUCGCUGCAAGCUCCGCCUCCCGGGUUCAUGCCAUUCUCCCACCUCGGUCUCCCGAGUACCUGGGACUACAGGUGCCUGCCACCACACCCAGCUAAUUUUGUUUUUGUAUUUUUAGUAGAGACAGGGUUUUACCUUGUUAGCCAGGAUGGUCUCAAUCUCCUGACCUCGUGAUGCACCCACCUUGGCCUCCCAAAGUGCUGGGAUUACAGGUGUGAGACACCACGCCUGGCGGAUUGGUUGUUUGAGAUAUCUUUCAGACUGACUCCACCUGGACUCUGGACUCAUGACUCAACUACUCCUGUGGCCCCACCCAGAGGCUGACUCAGCACACAAGGACUGUAUCCCAUAUCCCUAUGAUUUGAUUUCCAACCAAUCAACAUUCACCAUUCCCUAGUCCCCUGCCGACCAAACUAUCCUUGAAAACCCCUAACCUCUGUUAGAUAUGAGUUCUAAAUUUCUUUUCAAAGAGACAGUAUGUCAAUAUGUUCAAUUCUUUGCCUUCUACUUUUAAACUUAACUUCCUCGUAAAGCAACCUUUUUUGAUUACCUGCUCCACCCCAACUCUUUCCGAUUACCUGCUGUAUCAUAACCAUUUUUCCCACUCACCCCAUCUCUCUCUUUAAACCACUCACCCCAUCUCUCUCUUUAAAUUAGCCAGUCAGAAUUAGUGUAGCCUGUGCAGUCUAACCCUAGCCAAUAGGGGAACGACACAGCAGUAGGGGCCACAUGCGUCAGGGAUAAGUACCCCUUCCCCUCCCUUGUCCAAGUGUGCACUCACUGUGGCUCGGUCUGUAAGGGUGCACCCUUCUAUAGAAGUCACUUGCCUUGCUGAGAAUUAAAAAGAAAAUUUUAUGUUCGAGUGCAAUUUCUUUUGCAGCACUGAAACUUUAUUUAUAACACCUCUGAGUCUUCGGAGAGAUUGAUUUGAGUAAUAAUGACACCUCCUAAGUGGCAUGGCUGGCCUCCCUCAAUUAAACUCUUUCUGUAUGGCAAUGCCAUGGUCUCCAUGAAUUAAUUUUUUCUGUGCAGCAGGCAGGAAGAACCUGUCGAAUGAUUACAAGAUCAUCUUUUAGCAUGACAUGAGAAACUUAGUGGGACUACUCCCCAGUGACGCUGGUGAAAAUUAUACAUAUAUAUGUGUAUAUAUAUAUACUAUUUACAGUCUCUGGAAAUUGUUCUAAGAGUAUACAGCAAAUGACACAACUAUUCAAGACAAUCUGCCAAAAUUCACUAAAAACAGUGAGAAUCUGUGGUAUUUGAACUAAGACUACUCUCUCCUUCCCCUCUCCCAGCUCAGCAAGACAAAAACUUCACUCCAGUGUAGUGUAGCCAAGAACCCAAGGCUCCUCCUACACCCACUUCCUAGCUUGGAGGACUAGCUUACUGGGAGGGGAAGGAUUUCAGCAUUCCUCACCCUGCCCUCAGCUACCUGUAGAUGAGCCUAAGUUCUCUGAAAGUUUAGCCAACAGGGAGGUUUCCCUCCUCCUGCUAGCUUCCACUGAUAAGACGGAGGCUCUUGUUGGGGCAAAGCACCUUUGAAACUACUGGGGUCUCUUGUCUCCAUUUAUAAGGCCAUGGUUUCAUGCUAGGAGAAGCAAGCAGAGGUCAGCUGAGACUACUGUCUCCUCUUCUGCUUAAAGUUCAGCUUCUAAAGCAGGGAUGUCACUCAGAGAAUAGCUCAUCACUGUCCCAUACUGCCUGCUAUCUGCUACCUUUUGCCAGUUCAAGAGCCUUGGCUCAGUGAUUCUGCCUGAAGGUCAAAGUAGGCCUUAAAACAGAUAACUCCUAAUUUCUUCACAAAGGAAGUGGCUUCGUUUGCAACAGAGUAUGAAGAUGUUUAAUCCUGAGGGCAUUCUCAAGAAGGAUAAAGUUUGUGGUGAAAGGUAAUUGGGAAAAUACUAGCUACUCACUGGAGAUAUAGAUUAAACUGUGGAUGAGGGGAUUUUCCAGAGAAAAUGGGGAAAGAGACAUCUAAGGAAAUCUUUCCUGAGGUCAGAACAAAUCUAAAAUGCUGACUUUAGUUUGACAGUGUUAGUAUGCAGAGCAGUUUAUGCCCUAGAAUACUAUUGAAAACAACAGAGCAAUCAGACAGCAAUUAAAGGCUCUUAACAGCUGGGCAUGAUUAGAGAAGUGAUAGUCAAAGAGCUCUGUCGGAGCCAGUUAACCCAAGGUGACCAUAGGCCCAUCCAAGGCUGCAGCCCCUGAAGGUUAUCAUCAUAAGUUUAAUCAUACGUGAGGAAAAUAGAUACCAAUAAAAUAGCUGAUCUAGUUACUAAAUAAAAAGACAAUAAAAUAACAAUAAUAAGCCCUAGAAAAGCAGAGGUGAUACUCAGAGUGGCUACUAUAUAUUAUCUAAAAUGUCCAGUUUCCAACAGAUAUUACAACACAUGCAAAACAAAAACAAAACAGCAAAGCAUGAUCAAUACGCUGAAAAUAUAGCAGGUAAUUGAAAAUACCUGUAAGAUAAGCCAGAUGUUGGAUUUAACAAACAAAACUUCAAAGAAGCCAUUAUAAAUAUGGUAAAAAAAAAAAAGAAAUCAUGAUUUAAAGAGUAAAAGAAGGUACAAUGACAAUGUUGUAUCAAAUAAAAAACAACAAUAAAGAGAAAUUAUUUUUCAAAGUAGGAAUUUUAGAAGGGAAAAAUAAAAUGAAAAUGAAAAAUUCUCUUGAGGGGCUCGACAGUAUAUUUGAACUGGCAGAAGAAAGAAUGUGUAAACUUGAAGAUAGAUCAAAAUUGAUUACACAAGUUGAAGAACAGAGGGGAGAAAAGAAAUAAGCUAUCAAGCCAUGAAAAGACAUGAGGGAGACUUAACUCAUAUUGCUGAGUGAAAGAAGACAAUCUGAAAAAGGCUACAUAUUAUGAUUUCAACUAUAUGACAUUUUGGGAAAGGCAAAACUAUAGAAGCAGUAAAACGACCAGUAGUUGUCAGGAGUUUGGUGGAAGGUGGGGGAGAGAUGAACAGAUUAAGCCCAAGGGAUUUUUAGGGUGGUAAAAACAUUCUGUAUGAAAAUACAGUAAUAGAUAUGUUUCAUAAUUAGUCAAAUCCCAUAGAACUGUAUAACAAGAAGUGUAAACAGUUUAAACUUAGAGUUCAUAGAACCUUAAGGUAAACUACUGAUUACAGUUAAUAAUAUUGCAUGAAUAUUAGUUCAUCAACAGUAACACACGUGCCACACCAGUGCAAAAUGUUAAUAAUAGGGGAAAUUGUGUGCUGGGGUGGAGGAAUUGGGUGGAGUGGGUAUAUGGAAAUCUUUGUACUAUAUCCUUAAAUAUUCUGUAAACCUAAAAUUGUACUAAAAAUAAAGUCUAUUAAUUAUUCUUUUAAAAAGUGAACAGAUCCUCAGGGAAAUGUGUUACACUAUUAAGGAAACCAACAUAUGUAUAAUGAGAGAACCAGAAGGAGAGAAUAGAUAGAAAGAAGGAUAAAAAUAAUUGAAGAAAUGACUAAAAACUUCCAAUAUUUGUUGAAAAAGAUUGAUCUAUACAGCCAGGAAUCUCAAGCAGGAUAGAAAGAGAUCCACAAACAAGCAUCUCAUAGUAAAAAUGCUAACCAAAGACAAGAAGAUGGCUGAAAAAAGAAAAUCUUGGAAACAGCAAGAGAAAAAUAACUUGUCAUUUAAACAGACUCCCGAUACAAUUAACUGCUGAAUUUUCAUCAGAAACAAUGGAGGUCGGAUGGCAAUGGGAAAACAUUCAAAGUGCUCAAAAUGAAAACCACACUUCAUCAAGAAUUCUAUAAUCAGCAGGGCUAUCUUUCAAAACCUGGAAGUUAACUGAAGAAUUUUCAUUAAAAAAAAGUAAGUAAAAAUGUUGCUGGGAGGACUGCCUUAUAAGAAAUAUGAAAGGAAGUUCUUUAGGCUGAAAGCAAGUGACACCAUAUGGUAAUUCAAAUUCACAUGAAGAAAUAAAGAGCAAAGGUGAUGAUAAUUUUGUAAUUAUAAAUACUAUAAAUGUGUAUUUCUGUCCCUUAUUCUAUUAAUUAUUUUUAAAUUAAUUGUAUAAAAAUAUGUAUAUAAUGAAUUGUUUGACCUAUGACAUAAAAAAAUAAUGUUUUUGCCAAACACAGCACAAAGGAGGUGGGUGAAAGAAGUUACUGGUGGUAACUUGAAUCCAGAGGAAGAAAUAGAGGUUUGGAAAUGAUAAAUGAGGAGAUUAAUAUAGCAAUAUCUAUAAAUAUAUACUUGCUCUCUUUUCUUCUUUUAGAUUAUUUAAAAAGCAUAAAAUCAUAAAGUUCUGUUUAUAACAAUUUAUUGGGGGGUUGUAACAUUUGUAGAUGUUAUAAUAGCACAAAAACUGUCUCACUGGAAUUUAGUAUAAAUCUGAAGCUGGUUUUGUUAAGUUUGGUGUUUAUAAUUAAAGUCCUGGAACAACCACAAAAGGAAUAACCCAAGAAAUAAAGUAAAAAAAAAAAUCACUAAAGAAAUUAAAAUGCUACACAAGAAAAUAUUCACUCCAUACAAAAGAAAGCAAUAAAGGGAAAAUAGAGGAACAAAAAGAAUGAGACAUUUAGAAAACAAAAAGUAAAAUGACAGAUGUAAAUUCAUCUACAUCAAUAAUCACAUUACAUGUAAAUGGAUUGAACAACCCCAUAAAAAGACAGAAAUAGACUGGAUUUUUAAAAAGAUUCAAUUAUAUGCUAUUUACAGGAGCCACGUUCUAGACUCAAAAAUACUACACUGAAAAUCAAAGUUGGAAAAAGAUGGAUCAUACACACAGCAACCAUAAGAAAGCUGGAGUCACUGUGUUACUAUCAAACAAAUUUGGCUCUGAAACAAAAAUAAAUGUUACUGGAGAUAAAAAGGAAAAUUUAAUAAUGAUAAAAAGGUCAAUCCAUCAGGAAGAUAUAACAAUUAUAAGCUUGUAUACAAUAAAAGACUACCAAAAUACUAGAGGCAAGAACUGACAGAAAUGAAAGGAGAAAUAGGGAGUUUGUUAUCAUCAUCAACAACAACAAAACACUUGGAAACUUGAAUAUUCUGCUGUAUUCCGAUGAAUACAGCUAGUUCAAAGAUCAACAAGGAAGCAGAGACCUGAACAACACUACAGAGCAACCACACUUAACAAACAUUUAUUGACCACACCUAACAACAGUAGACUAUACAUUUGUCUUGAUUCUUCUGCAUUCUCCAAAAUAGACUUUAUGCUGGGCCAAAAAUAAACCUUGCUAAAUUUAACAACGUUCAAAUAGUACAAAGUAUCCUCUCUGACCACAAUGGAAUGAUACAUGUUACAACAUGGGUGAUGAAUCUUGAAAACAUGCUAAGCAAAAAUGCUAGUUGCAAAAGACUAUACAAAACGUCCAGAAAGAGUAUAUCUACAGAGACAGAAAGUAAAUUAGUAGUAGCUUAGGGCUCAGAUGGGAGUGAGGCAGGGGAGAAUAGGAGAGUGAUACCUAAAGAUUUCAGGCUUUCUUUUUGAGAUCAUAAAAAUGUUCUAAACUUGAUUGUGAGUAUAAUUGCACAUAUCUGUAAAUACACUGAAAUCAUUGGAUUAUACACUUUAAAUGGUUGAAUUGUAUUAUAUGUGAAUUAUAUCCCAAUAAAACUGUUUAAAACAUGUUAGAUAAUUCCCAAAUAGAACAUUAUAAUAAUAAAAUGUGCAAUCCACAAUGAAGAACUAAGACCUAUGAAUAUGAAUGCAUCAAAUAAUAUAGCACUUAUAUUUUAGAAGCUGAAACUAUAAGAAAUACAGAGAAAUUCACAUAAAAAUUUUAUGGCCUAAUAUUUUUAUUUAUUUAUCUCAUUCCAUGACAGAUUAAGUAGACAAAAAUAAAAAUUUACAAAACUUAAAUGAUAUAAUUUAUUGCAGGGGUUCAUAUGCAUAUUUAUAUAUACACACACAUUGAUUCUUGCCUAAAAACCAAGUAUUAAUUCUUCUAGACAAGCACCCCAGGAAUACUCACAGAAGUUAUCGAAUAUUAGACCUUAGAGGAAAAUAUAAGUAAUAUUUGAAAUGUAAAAAUAACGAAAAUAUGCUCUGAUCACACUGCAAAAAUCCAGAAAUAAAUAAAUCCAGAGAGAGAGAGACUUUUAGCUGACUUUCAAGGAAAAGAGUAAAAAGCAAACAUAGAUAAACUUUGGAAAUGACAAAGAAGAAAUAAUCACAGGUACAGAAGAAACUUUAAAUAAUUAUCUUAAGGUUGUACAUCAAGGCCAGUUAAAGAAGUGAGGGGUAUAACAGCUAUGUGUGUUUUUAAAAAAAUCCUAGCACUUUGGGAGGAUGAGGCAGGUGGAUUGCCUGAGCUCAGGAGUUCAAGACCAGCCUGGGCAACAUGGUGAAACCCUUCUCUGCUAAAAUACAAAACAUUAGCCAGACAUAGCGGGGUGCGCCUGUAGUACCAGCUACUGGGGAGGUUGAGGCAGGAGAAUUGCUAGAACCCAGGAGGUGGAGGUUGCAGUGAGCCAAGAUCGCGCCAUUGCACUCCAGCCUGGGCAACAGAGUGAGACUCCGUCUCUUAAA